UACGUAGGGUGCGAGCGUUGUCCGGAAUUACUGGGCGUAAAGAGCUCGUAGGUGGUUUGUCGCGUUGUUCGUGAAAACUCACAGCUCAACUGUGGGCGUGCGGGCGAUACGGGCAGACUGGAGUACUGCAGGGGAGACUGGAAUUCCUGGUGUAGCGGUGGAAUGCGUAGAUAUCGGAAGGAACAUCAGUGGCGAAAGCGGCUUCCUGGACCAGUACCGACGUUCAGGCACGAAAGCGUGGGGAGCAAACAGG
rnacentral:rRNA from 1 species